rnacentral:tRNA from 2 species
GUGGUUGUAGCUCAGCUGGUUAGAGCGCUGGAUUGUGGUUCCAGAGGUCGCCGGUUCGAAACCGGUCUUCCACC